UACGUAGGGGGCAAGCGUUGUCCGGAAUCAUUGGGCGUAAAGCGCGUGUAGGCGGUCCGGUAAGUCCGCUGUGAAAGUCGGGGGCUUAACCCUCGGAUGCCGGUGGAUACUGUCGGGCUUGAGUACGGAAGAGGCGAGUGGAAUUCCUGGUGUAGCGGUGAAAUGCGUAGAGAUGUGGAGGAACACCGAUGGCGAAGGCAGCCCCCUGGGUCAACACUGACGCUCAUGCACGAAAGCGUGGGGAGCAAACAGG
rnacentral:rRNA from 1 species